GAGGGUAUAGCUCAAGUAGUAGAGCGCAUGCCUAGCAUGUACAAGGCCCUGGGUUCAAUCCCCAGUACCUCCU
rfam:Camelus ferus unplaced genomic scaffold scaffold951, whole genome shotgun sequence.